AUUGAACGCUGGCGGCAGGCCUAACACAUGCAAGUCGAACGAGGGGCGGACGGGUGAGUAAUGUCUGGUACACUGCCUGAUGGAGGGGGAUAACUACUGGAAACGGUAGCUAAUACCGCAUACCAUCGGAUGUGCCCCGAUGGGAUUAGCUAGUAGGUGGGGUAAAGGGUCACCUAGGCGACGCUCCCUAGCUGGUCUUAGAGGAUGACCAGCCACACUGGAACUGAGAAACGGUCCAGAAGCCUACGGGAGGCAGCAGUGGGGAAUAGGGCACAAUGGGCGCAAGCCUGAUGCAGCCAUGCCGCGUGUAUGAAGAAGGCCUUCGGGUUGUAAAGUACUGUCAGCGGGGAGGCGUGACACGCAGAAGAAGCACCGGCUAACUCCGUGCCAGCCGCCGCGGUAAUUC
rnacentral:rRNA from 1 species